rnacentral:rRNA from 1 species
UGGGGAAUAUUGCACAAUGGGGGAAACCCUGAUGCAGCAACGCCGCGUGCGGGAUGACGGCCUUCGGGUUGUAAACCGCUUUCAGCCAUGACGAAGCUUUUGUGACGGUAGUGGCAGAAGAAGCACCGGCUAACUACGUGCCAGCAGCCGCGGUGAUACGUAGGGUGCGAGCGUUGUCCGGAAUUAUUGGGCGUAAAGAGCUUGUAGGCGGUUUGUCGCGUCGAAAGUGUAAACUCAGUGCUUAACGCUGAGCCUGCUUUCGAUACGGGCUGACCAGAGGAAGGUAGGGGAGAAUGGAAUUCCCGGUGGAGCGGUGGAAUGCGCAGAUAUCGGGAGGAACACCAGUGGCGAAGGCGGUUCUCUGGACCUUUCCUGACGCUGAGAAGCGAAAGCGUGGGUAGCAAACAGG